ensembl:snoRNA U3 Small nucleolar RNA U3
UAGACUAUACUUUCAGGGAUCAUUUCUAUAGUUCAUUACUAGAGAAGUUUCUCUGACUGUGUAGAGUAAAGGAAACCACGAAGAGGAGGCUGGCAUUCUCUCCUGAGCAUGAAGUCAGCUCUUGAUGCAGCUGCCACCUGCCAUUGAUGGUCAUUCCUGCUCUGCUUAAAGGGAGCUGGAGGGAGAGGAUGCAGUUUGAGUGGC